AGCGAGCGUUAGCGGCGGGCCUAACACAUGCAAGUCGAGCGAGAAAGGGGCUUCGGCCCUGAGUAAAGCGGCGGACGGGUGAGUAACACGUAGGUAAUCUUCCUUCGAGCGGGGGACAACGGUCCGAAAGGACCGCUAAUACCGCGUACGUUCCCGAGGACCCUGGCCCUUGGGAGGAAAGCUGGGUCGCAAGAUCCGGCACUCGGAGAAGAGCCUGCGUCGCAUCAGCUAGGUGGGGGGGUAAUGGCCUACCAAGGCGAAGACGCGUAGCUGGUCUGAGGGGAUAAUCAGCCACACUGGGACUGAGACACGGCCCAGACCCCUACGGGAGGCAGCAGUGGGGAAUAUUGGGCAAUGGGCGCAAGCCUGAUCCAGCCACGCCGCGUGAGUGAUGAAGGCCUUCGGGUCGUAAAGCUCUGUGGGGAGGGACGAACCGCUGCACGUGCAUAGCGUGCAGCAUGACGGUACCUCCUUAGCAAGCACCGGCUAACUUCGUGCCAGCCGCCGCGGUAA
rnacentral:rRNA from 1 species